rnacentral:rRNA from 1 species
UACGGAGGGGGCGAGCGUUAUUCGGAAUUAUUGGGCGUAAAGGGCGCGUAGGCGGCCCGGUAAGUCAAAGGUGAAAUCCCUCGGCUCAACUGAGGAACUGCCUUUGAAACUGUCGGGCUUGAGGCCGGGAGAGGGUAGUGGAAUUCCCAGUGUAGCGGUGAAAUGCGUAGAUAUUGGGAGGAACACCAGUGGCGAAGGCGGCUACCUGGACCGGUUCUGACGCUGAGGCGCGAAAGCGUGGGUAGCAAACAGG